rnacentral:rRNA from 3 species
UUGACCUCGGAUCAGGCAGGGAUACCCGCUGAACUUA